rnacentral:rRNA from 1 species
AUGACCGACCACCCCCACAACCCCCAUCCGGAGCAGCCGCCGCCGGCCCCGUUCGUCGCGGUGCGGGAGGAGGAGGAGGAGGGGCAGGGGGAGGGGCUGGAUCUGAGGCUCUGCCUGCGGGGGCGGGACGGCGGCUCCGGCUACGUCAUGGACCUCGACUCCGCCGUGCUCUGCGGGAGCAGCGCCUUCUUCGCCGCCAUGGCGCCCGAGCCCAACGCCGCCGCCGGGGCCAGGAGGAUCGAGGUCGACGGGGUGGACAACGUCGCCGCCUUCAGGGACGCCGUGGAGCUCAUGUUCCAGGCCGACGCUCCGCGGUGGCUCGCCAAGGCCGGCGUCUCGCGGGCCAUCGCCGUCCUCGAGGUGGCUUCCUCGAUUAUGUUUGACAAAGGAAUCAGAUCAUGUUUGGAGUACAUUGAAGCAGUUCCAUGGAAUGAGAAUGAGGAAGAGAAGCUAAAGCACCUCUUUGCUAGAUGCACUUUCGAUGAAGCGUUAUUAAAAGAUGUAUUGGCAAGAUUGCAAACACAGCCGUCUAGCAGCUCGGAAGACCUGACUGGUCAGCUCAUCCAAUCUGUCACCAGCAGCACAAACAACAGUGCAAGAAAAGAUAUGCAGUCUUUGAUCAAUGGUCUUCUAAGCAAAAGCUCAGUGUAUCAAAAGGAUUUGUCCGGAUUAAACAAAAGGAGCCUCUACCAGAUUUGCUGCUCAUGUCUGAACUUGCUGGUGGAACUUUUUAAGCAAGACUUGGAGCCAAAAUGCGGCACAGACCAGGCACUGAAAAUUAGGCACAAUAAACCCAUGAUUGAGAGAGUGAGCAAGCAAAGUGAGAACCUCAGCUGGCUAUUUGAGAUCCUGGUGAACAAUGAUAUGGCAGAGAAUUUCGUCGUGCUGUGGGCCGGGCAAGACGAUCUCAUCAGGAUGCACGAGCAAGCAUCACCAAUGUUCAGGUACGAGCUGAGCCGGAUAUCAGCUGGCGUGUUCAUCGCGCUCGGGCAAGGGAAAGUGCAGUGCCCCAGCGAUCUGAGGAGCCAACUGUUCCGGGGAUGGUUCACGCCGAUGUUAACUGAUUUCGGCUGGCUUCAAAGGUGCUCGAAAGGACUGGAUGCGAGAGCGCUGGAGGAUAGCCUGGGGCAAGCCCUUCUCACCCUUCCGCUUCGGGAGCAGCAGAGCCUAUUUGAGGAAUGGUUCCAGUGCUUCGCAUCUAGGGGCGCGGAAUGCCCGAACCUUAGCCGAGCCUUCCAGGUAUGGUGGCGAAGGUCAUUCACUAGAUAG